AACGAACGCUGGCGGCAGGCCUAACACAUGCAAGUCGAACGCCCUAGCAAUAGGGAGUGGCAGACGGGUGAGUAACACGUGGGAACCUUCCCUAUAGUAUGGAAUAGCCCAGGGAAACUUGGAGUAAUACCGUAUACGCCCGAGAGGGGAAAGAUUUAUCGCUAUAGGAUGGGCCCGCGUAGGAUUAGCUAGUUGGUGAGGUAAUGGCUCACCAAGGCGACGAUCCUUAGCUGGUCUGAGAGGACGACCAGCCACACUGGGACUGAGACACGGCCCAGACUCCUACGGGAGGCAGCAGUGGGGAAUAUUGGACAAUGGGCGCAAGCCUGAUCCAGCCAUGCCGCGUGAGUGAUGAAGGCCUUAGGGUUGUAAAGCUCUUUUGCCGGGGUACGAGUAAUGACGGUACCCGGAGAAGAAGACCCCGGCUAACUCCGUG
rnacentral:rRNA from 1 species